rnacentral:lncRNA from 1 species
GUAUUGCUGACUCCAGUAAGUCUGAUGUUUGUUGGGUUACUUUCUUUAUAAGGAGCCUAAUUUUCUCCAGCUAGAAAAUUUUGUGUCUUGCUCCUUAAUUCUACACCCCAUUAUAUCCCAGGUAUUCUGAACACUCAGAGUAAUGUACUUUUAUCUGUUGCAGUAGAAUCCUCUCCAUGGCCCCACUUGCCGCGGAGCAGAGUUCAGUACACGCAUCACCAAGCCCAGAAGUGCUCCCUCACUGCAUCUCACCUCCAGGAUGGACCCUCGGCAGGUGUAUUGUUCUCCACUGGAGCAACGUGUUCCCUUGCACUUGAGCUGAACAUGAGAACUUGUCAAAGGCCAUUCCUCAUCGUCCCAUUGUUGAUUUAUUUAACUCUGCAAAAUAGCUUAUACAGCCUCUUUCCCUUUGCCCGAGACACACAUUGCAUUUGAAUCCAAGGGCUUAGCGGAAGGCCUAUGAAACCCAUGUUGACCAUAAGAUGAGGGCUCAGAUGGGUAUGCACCAACUCCUAAAUCCUUAUUUUAAUGAGGCAAAACCUUAGACCCUUCCUGUUUUUCCUUUCAGAUCAUUAUUUAUCAGGACACUUUGGGUCCUGCAUCUUGUCCCCACUAUUUAAUUACCCUCUUGUCUCUAUUGUCACUGUAUCAUGCACCUAUUUCUGUUAUUGUCUUUGUGUGUAAAAAAUUACCCAUCCUUCAUUUUCCAAUGGACUGAACAUAGGAGAUUCACAGAUGAUCUCCUAUACUCAGAUCACCACUUGCUGUCUAUAUUUGGAGUGAGAGAAUGAAGAACGAAAGCCAUGUAUUUUGAGUGGGUAAUAAUUAAAUUGAGAAUGAUGCUGUCUACAUCUAUCC